GGGGAAUAUUGGACAAUGGGCGAAAGCCUGAUCCAGCCAUGCCGCGUGUGUGAAGAAGGUCUUCGGAUUGUAAAGCACUUUAAGUUGGGAGGAAGGGCAGUAAGUUAAUACCCUGUUCGGAUGACGGUACCGUCAUAAGAAGCACCGGCUAACUACGUUCCAGCAGCCGCGGUAAUACGUAGGGUGCGAGCGUUAAUCGGAAUUACUGGGCGUAAAGCGUGCGCAGGCGGUUGAUUAAGACAGGCGUGAAAUCCCCGGGCUUAACCUGGGAACUGCGCUUGUGACUGGUCGGCUAGAGUACGGCAGAGGGGGGUGGAAUUCCACGUGUAGCAGUGAAAUGCGUAGAGAUGUGGAGGAACACCGAUGGCGAAGGCAGCCCCCUGAGCCGAGACUGACGCUCAUGCACGAAAGCGUGGGUAGCAAACA
rnacentral:rRNA from 1 species